GUGCAAAGGCUGGACCCUACAAUGGACAAGCAGCCAAGCCCCAGGGUUCUUCUCUAGGAAAUAUGGGCUAUCCCAAUAAUGGGGGCAAUGGACCUAAACCAGGGUAUGGUGCAAAAGCUGGACCCUACAAUGGACAAGCAGCCAAGC